UACGUAGGGUGCGAGCGUUAAUCGGAAUUACUGGGCGUAAAGCGUGCGCAGGUGGUUUUGUAAGCCAGAUGUGAAAUCCCCGGGCUCAACCUGGGAAUGGCAUUUGGGACUGCAAGGCUAGAGUGUGGCAGAGGGGGGUGGAAUUCCGCGUGUAGCAGUGAAAUGCGUAGAUGUGUGGAGGAAUACCGAUGGCGAAGGCAGCCCCCUGGGAUAACACUGACGCUCAUGCACGAAAGCGUGGGGAGCAAACAGG
rnacentral:rRNA from 1 species